UGGCUGAGUCGGUUAAGCGUCUGACUUUGGCUCAGGUCAUGAUCUCACAGUUUGUGAGUUCGAGCCUCAC
rnacentral:tRNA from 1 species